GGAGAGAGGAUGCUAGAUGGAGGAGGAGAGGAUGCUGGAUGGAGGAGGAGGAGAGAGGAUCCUGGAUGGAGGAGGAGGAGAGAGGAUGCUGGAUGGAGGAGGAGGAGAGAGGAUGCUAGAUGGAGGAGGAGGAGAGAGGAUCCUGGAUGGAGGAGGAGGAGAGAGGAUCCUGGAUGGAGGAGGAGGAGAGAGGAUGCUAGAUGGAGGAGGAGGAGAGAGGAUCCUGGAUGGAGGAGGAGAGAGGAUGCUGGAUGGAGGAGGAGGAGAGAGGAUCCUGGAUGGAGGAGGAGAGAGGAUGCUGGAUGGAGGAGGAGGAGAGAGGAUGCUGGAUGGAGGAGGGGAGAGGAUGCUGGAUGGAGGAGGAGGAGGGGAGAGGAUCUUGGAUGGAGGAGGAGAGAGGAUGCUGGAUGGAGGAGGAGGAGAGAGGAUCCUGGAUGGAGGAGGAGGAGAGAGGAUGCUAGAUGGAGGAGGAGAGAGGAUGCUGGAUGGAGGAGGAGGAGGAGAGAGGAUCCUGGAUGGAGGAGGAGAGAGGAUGCUGGAUGGAGGAGGAGGAGAGAGGAUGCUAGAUGGAGGAGGAGAGAGGAUGCUGGAUGGAGGAGGAGGAGGAGAGAGGAUCCUGGAUGGAGGAGGAGAGAGGAUGCUGGAUGGAGGAGGAGGAGAGAGGAUCCUGGAUGGAGGAGGAGAGAGGAUGCUGGAUGGAGGAGGGGAGAGGAUGCUGGAUGGAGGAGGGGAGAGGAUGCUAGAUGGAGGAGGAGGAGAGAGGAUGCUAGAUGGAGGAGGAGGAGAGAGGAUGCUAGAUGGAGGAGGGGAGAGGAUGCUGGAUGGAGGAGGAGGAGAGAGGAUCCUGGAUGGAGGAGGGGAGAGGAUGCUGGAUGGUGGAUGCAGAGGAGAAAUCAUGGUAGACAGAUUAAGGAUCAAAUCGGCACAGGUUGCAAUGAGAGAAAAACUGAAGAAGUUAACGGAUGACUCGUAUUUGUGUGAUGAUUUGGAGACUUUACAACAAAUGACUAGCUCUGGAAAAUAUGACACAAACAAUUGAACAACUGUGCAAGAGAGAGAAUGGACUGAUUCUUAAUAAACUGGAUGACAUUGUUAUGUAUAAAAAACAUGAUCUUAGGGCACUGCCAGUUCGAAAGCACAAAUCAAAACUGUCCAGAAAACGAAAAUGGACCCAAGCUCCCUUGUCGCCCCUAAUCGAACAUUGCGAGGAGGAGACACUGGGCCAUAGCUCUUCUGCUUUCCUGCACGGAGCUCGGCAAAAAAAUCCCUAGCUAACCCUAAAUAUUUAUAAAUAAAAAAAACAUUUUGCAACAGG
ensembl:lncRNA